rnacentral:rRNA from 1 species
UGAACGCUAGCGGCAGGCUUAACACAUGCAAGUCGAACGGUAACAUGAGAGCUUGCUCUUGAUGACGAGUGGCGCACGGGUGCGUAACACGUAUGCAACCUACCCUUUACUGGAGCAUAGCCCCGAGAAAUCGGGAUUAAUACUCCAUAGUAUCUUAAGAUCACCUGGUUUAAAGAUUAAAGUUUCGGCGGUAAAGGAUGGGCAUGCGGCCUAUUAGUUUGUUGGUGAGGUAACGGCUCACCAAGACUACGAUAGGUAGGGGUUCUGAGAGGAUGAUCCCCCACACUGGUACUGAGACACGGACCAGACUCCUACGGGAGGCAGCAGUGAGGAAUAUUGGGCAAUGGAGGCAACUCUGACCCAGCCAUGCCGCGUGCAGGAAGACGGCCCUCUGGGUUGUAAACUGCUUUUAUUUGGGAAGAAACCUCUGGACGUGUCCAGAGCUGACGGUACCAAACGAAUAAGCACCGGCUAACUCC